GACGAACGCUGGCGGCGUGCCUAAUACAUGCAAGUCGAACGCUUUUUCUUUCACCGGAGCUUGCUCCACCGAAAGAAAAAGAGUGGCGAACGGGUGAGUGACACGUGGGUAACCUGCCCAUCAGAAGGGGAUAACACUUGGAAACAGGUGCUAAUACCGUAUAACACUAUUUUCCGCAUGGAAGAAAGUUGAAAGGCGCUUUUGCGUCACUGAUGGAUGGACCCGCGGUGCAUUAGCUAGUUGGUGAGGUAACGGCUCGCCAAGGCAACGAUGCAUAGCCGACCUGAGAGGGUGAUCGGCCACACUGGGACUGAGAAACGGCCCAGACUCCUACGGGAGGCAGCAGUAGGGAAUCUUCGGCAAUGGACGAAAGUCUGACCGAGCAACGCCGCGUGAGUGAAGAAGGUUUUCGGAUCGUAAAACUCUGUUGUUAGAGAAGAACAAGGAUGAGAGUAAAAUGUUCAUCCCUUGACGGUAUCUAACCAGAAAGGGACGGCUAACUACGUGCCAGCCGCCGCCGUAA
rnacentral:rRNA from 1 species